CCAUUGCAUACCACCAGGAAAAGAGCACUUGUCCUAGCUCUCUGUGUGCUACUCGUGUAAGGCCCCCGAGGAACAAAACAUCUAGCAUGGAAGAGAUCAGCUCCAACAUGGUUCAAAGGUCUCAGACCCAAGGUAAGUAUAAGAGGAGGUGUUCAAACAAAAGGAAUAAGGCUGGUUUAACAGUAGAAAGUAUAACAACUAGAGUGAUUCUUAUUAAGUGGAAUAUUACUAGCUAGAAUAUUCUAGUGCCUUAUCUUCUAUGCCCUCCCACAACCAAAACCACUUUCCCAAUUAGCAGGCCUCAUCCCUACCUUGGAACACAGCAGUUUAGAUCACACAGGUGCCUCAGCACCUUGAACUUAUUCCAAUAGAGGGGGACAGCUCCUAUUCCAUAGUCCAGCUUUUACCUAAAGGCUAAAGCAGGGGAAAUAUUUUCUGGACACCUGCCAAUAAAGAUAAUGGCUUCAUUCUGCUAAAGCAGAGUUCAUGCUGGUACUGAUAAAAAAAGAUCUGCAGGAACACCCAGCAAAUGCUUACGCAAUUAGUGAAAGGCCUUGACAGGCAGAAGAUUGUGACAAAGGCUUAAUCCAAGAUAUUUUUUUUCAGGUGGUAUCCCUAUUUUUAUCCUGCUGCCCUGUGAGAUAGCUGCCUGAAGGACACCUCAUGAGCAUGAGACUCUUAAGCCCAUGGUUCUGCGUUCAAGCCCGACAUUGGGCAAAAAUAGUACUGUAUUGCAGGGGGUUAGGCCCUUCCAACGCUACAAUUUUAUGAUGUGUAUUUGUAUGGGGCACUGAUGAAAAUCAAUUGUUUUUCUGGAACUCCAUAACUUUUGUCUCAGGUUUACACACCCUGUGUUUAGCUUAAACUUUGGCUACAAAGGAAAGUGUGCUACCUUUAAAGAGAAGAAUACAGUAAUUCCCAUGGAUUCAAGAGAGUAAUUGCUUGCACUGAAGUAUAAUUUAGAGCAAAUACUUUGAAGACCUCAUUUCCUUACUCUUCUAUUUUACGUUAGGCAUAAAACACAUAUGAGUAAUGCACAGUUUGAAGAUUAAAAUACAGCAACCUCUUCCUCCUCGUGCAAGGAGCUGAGUUUCAGUCUCAGUAUCUUAACGCACACCUUUAAAGACAAAGUACAUGUUGAUCUUUCUUCCUUUUGGUUUCUCUCUAGGUGCACAGGCUUGUAUUUUAUAUAGAAAUCAUGAUACCAAAGAGAUGCCUCUGCAGCAAGAUUAAUAGAUAUGAAUUAUUUUCUACCCUUUUCAGGUUUCACUAACUGCUCAUUUCUUGAGGUAGUGUUUAUUUCUCAUAGGUUUCCUCAAUUAGAUUUAUGAUUACCGGUAACACUUUUCAACCCUAUUCAAACAGUACUAUUUCUUUCCAUCUUACAAUAAGGUAAUUACCAUAUAACUUACUCACUCCGUCUUCUUUAAACCAUUGUUCUUAUAAUCUGACUGAGAUACAGACUUAUUUAUAUCUCAAUUUCAUUAAAAAUAUAAAAGCAGUUUACAACAAUCAAAAUACACUUGAUCUUAGCCCAAAGGCUGAGAAGUGAUACAAUAACAAUACAAACUUUAAAACAGAUCACAAGAUAGAACCUUAAUGUCUGCAUAAGCUUGUUGGCAAAAAGAUCAGGCAAACUAGAGCAAAAGUAACAAAGAGAGUCUGAUUAUGCCAGUCGCAAAUGGUUGUUUGAAUUCAUUCUGUGUUGUGUGUAUUGAACAACUGGUAUUCAUCACUCACUACCCUUUAGGUGCAGAGGAUUUGUUUUCUGAGGCAUGCGUUAUCACAAAGUGUCUUACUUUGCUGCAUGUUUUCAGCUGCUGCCUGCUGUUGUUGUUAAUGCUGUGGUCCUAUUGUACAUUUCAGUGCAUUAACUUUUUCACCACCAUUACAUUAUCACCAUUAUAUUAAUAAAGUUCUGUCUAUGUGCAUGGCACUUUACAAAAAGGCAACAACAGAUAUGCUAGAUCACUAGGUUCCCCCUACCCCAAGGGACUCCCAGUUUAUAAUAGCUAGGGAAAUGGAAGGGGGAAAUGGAAGCAAGAGAAAAAUAUGUAAUUAUUUCAAUUACACAUUCUUUGGUUUAAUAACAAUAAGAUAUAGGUAGGACUAAGGGAAUUAGGGAGCAGCAAAUCCAGUGGGAACGGGAGAAGGGAAGCAUUGGGAAUGAGGAGGAAGAGUGAAUUUUUGAAUUAGAGAUUAGGAGAGAGGGGAAAUGCCAUAAUGUUCAAAACAGGUGAAUCAGGCAGUUGCUGGUGUUCUUGAGGUGGGAGGAGCCACAGAGCAACCACCUAGUGUCACACCCAAGCUGUCCUGAUCCAUCUAGGUGCACAGGGAUUCUUCAGGCAUAGACACAGUUGCUAGAAUUAAGAUGGGGGGAGGCACCCACAAUGGAAAAGACCCUCCCAUACAAUCCUACUAGCCAUAUCUUAGGAGGCAAAGGUAUACACAAAAGGAUAUCAAGACAUUAGCUCACACAGAGAGAGAGAAACCAACCAGAUUUACAUCUGAAAUGUCCAGUGGCCAAUUGCAGGAAACUGCAGCAUGCAUACAUAAUGGCAGACUCUGUUCAGACAAGGUGCAGCACGCUAUUAUUUUCACAUUCAUGCCUCUAUUAAGGAUCAUGGAAGAGCUACAGUUUAAAGUACCACUAAAUGCACAUGCAGCAUAUACUUAAUCUGGGCUGUCUUCAGCUGGUUACUACACCACAUCUAUGUGUAGCAGUGAUUCCUUGUACCCACUUUGUAUGCUAGAGCAUACAUUACAUGGAAGUACACGUAAUGGGUACUUAAGGAUCACUUAGCAGGUUAGAAAUACAUGUGAAAAACAUUGUUAUGUGCUUCAACUCCUUUUGUAGCUUGGGGGGGGAUUACAAUUUAUACACAUGUAUUUGGGAAGAAAAUGUGCUAUGUCUGAUAGUACAAUCUUAUACAUGUCUUCAGAAAUAAAGCCACUGAUUUACACUCCAUACAUUUAAAGCACAUUUCCCCUGGCCAAAAAAUAAUAAUCUUGGGAACGGUAGUUUAAGGGUGAUCAAAACUGUAGUUCUGUGAGGGGUAAACUACUGUUCCCAGGAAUCUUGGGGGGAAUUCAUCUGUUGUGCUGAAGGGAGAGGAGAGAAGAGGGGGGAGGUAAAACUCCAUCGUGUUUUAGCUAGCUCCAGCUAACAAUUGUUUCAGCUAUGCAAGAUAGCUCUGCGGGCUGGCAGUGGGUUUCCUGUCUGGCCUCCUACAUAGCUGAAGUUGAAGAGGCUCAGCUCUGCAGACCGGUAGUGGUUUUCCUGUCUGACUUCUCACCUCAGCUGUGCAAAGAUGCAAACACAUAAUGCAAAGCAAACAAUAUGCAAAGGUGGGGGAGGAGGGCUUAGCUAGCCUAAUAAGGUAAUAAAGUGUAUCUCUGCCUGUUGAUUGGGGAGCAACUGGGGGCCAAGCUUGCAGCUUCAGUAUAAGAAUGCUUGGAAGACAAUAGGGGCGCGGCCAGUCUUUGGAAGCUAUUCCACUGGCUGUCUCUGUACAGAUUCUGCAAUAAACCUUUUUCUCUGUGAAACCCACCCUGGUGUUUGCUUGACUCCUUCAUGCUAACGGCAAGGGCACGAGGUGACUGGAUCCGGACCCCUUAGGUUCAGAUAUCCUAACAGUGCAAAGGCCGGAAGGCUUAUCUGCAUCAGAAACUGGUUUAAGUCCACACAUUCAAGGAAACCUGGGAACUGAAAUUGGGGGAUUUAGGAAAUGCUUUCAGAAAAUCACAGCAACUUGCCAAACUACAACACCUGAGAUUCUCUGAGCAUUUUUUUUAUGUUAACAUGUAGUUUUAAGAAAAGAGGUUGUAAUGUGAAUAAACUUCUCUAGUUGAGAAACUAGCAUAUACCUGCUCCACGCUAGCCCUUUCUAUAUUUACUGUCAACAUUUUAACCCAUGAACACUACACAUAAAUUUUUUUGCAAAAUAUUAAUUUGAAAUCUUUUUUAUUUCCCCAAACAUUAGUGGUUGUUAUUCCCAAUUCAAGAGGUGGGGACGAGGAGGUGAUGCAAAGCUCAGAGGUGUAGCCUGUUUAAGCAAGCAAGCAAACAAAUAAUAAUAAUAUUGAGACACGAUCAAGACUAAGACUGCACUUGCUUCAAGAACAGCAGAGACUGAGUAAUUUAAGCAGUGUGGGAUGUGCAUAAGAGGGUUUUUU